GACGAACGCUGGCGGCGUGCUUAACACAUGCAAGUCGAACGGAAAGGCCCUGCUUUUGUGGGGUGCUCGAGUGGCGAACGGGUGAGUAACACGUGAGUAACCUGCCCUUGACUUUGGGAUAACUUCAGGAAACUGGGGCUAAUACCGGAUAGGAGCUCCUGCUGCAUGGUGGGGGUUGGAAAGUUUCGGCGGUUGGGGAUGGACUCGCGGCUUAUCAGCUUGUUGGUGGGGUAGUGGCUUACCAAGGCUUUGACGGGUAGCCGGCCUGAGAGGGUGACCGGCCACAUUGGGACUGAGAUACGGCCCAGACUCGUACGGGAGGCAGCAGUGGGGAAUAUUGCACAAUGGGCGGAAGCCUGAUGCAGCAACGCCGCGUGCGGGAUGACGGCCUUCGGGUUGUAAACCGCUUUCGCCUAUGACGAAGCGUGAGUGACGGUAAUGGGUAAAGAAGCACCGGCUAACUACGUG
rnacentral:rRNA from 1 species